CGGCCUGAUGCCAUUUCAAACAAGGACCUUUUCAUUGAUGUUUAGUAUGAGAGAUUCUUGGGACCUGAGAUCUUUUUUUUUUUUUUUAAAUCCAGAGUUUGCUAAUCCAGACUUCACACAACCUACCCCGGAAGUUGUAGAUGAAGUAAUUCAGGAUUGUCCUGUGAAUGUCAGACAUCUUCCCUGCAAGAAUAUUGUCCUCUCUGGUGGUUCAACUAUGUUCAGGUACUUUGAAUAUUGCUUAUGAGAGAUUUGAACUCUAAGAUGCCAGGAAUUAAGUGAGGAAUUGAGUAGCAGUAGAUUGAGGCCAAAACCUAUUGAUACACAAAUCACUACACAACACAUGUAGCAAUACAGUCUGAUUUGGAGGAUACAUGCUGGCGUCUAUGAGUACGCCAUGCCAAAAAGGAUUAUGAAGAAACUGGACCUAGCAUUUCUCAUCACAAUCCAGUGUUUGGAGUCCUGUCAUAA
rnacentral:lncRNA from 1 species